rnacentral:rRNA from 1 species
GUGAGGAAUUUUCCGCAAUGGGCGAAAGCCUGACGGAGCAAUGCCGCGUGAAGGAUGAAGGCCUAUGGGUUGUAAACUUCUUUUCUCAGAAAAGAAUUAUGACGGUAUCUGAGGAAAAAGCAUCGGCUAACUCUGUGCCAGCAGCCGCGGUAAGACAGAGGAUGCAAGCGUUAUCCGGAAUGAUUGGGCGUAAAGCGUCUGUAGGUUGUUUAAAAAGUAUUCUGUCAAAGAUUAGGGCUUAACCCUAGAUAGGCAGAAUAAACUUUUAAGCUAGAGUUUGGUAGAGGCAGAGGGAAUUCCCGGUGGAGCGGUGAAAUGCGUAGAUAUCGGGAGGAACACCAAAGGCGAAGGCACUCUGCUGGGCCAAUACUAACACUGAGAGACGAAAGCGAGGGGAGCAAAUGGGAUUAGAAACCCCGGUAGUCC